rnacentral:misc_RNA from 1 species
ACAAACUUGGUCAUUUAGAGGAAGUAAAAGUCGUAACAAGGUUUCCGUAGGUGAACCUGCGGAAGGAUCAUUACAGAUAGAUGUUUUAAACAGGGAGUCAGGUUUUCAGCAGAGUCUCAAGUCUCUGUGUAACCUACUUCUGAAACUCUACCUUCAAUCCCUUCAUCUGUGAACUUUGACACAAGUUGUUGUAAGUGCCCCUAUUUGAGAGAUAGGGGCACUUGAACACUUGUUGUGCUCUUUUUCGCACACUACACCAUAUGUAUGGUCUGUUUGAAUGUUGUUGGAGACAAUGAAUGAUAUAACUUUCAGCAAUGGAUCUCUUGGCUCUCGCAUCGAUGAAGAACGCAGC